AAUCUACUGUAUUGCCUGGCAUAUUUCUGCUCUCAACACGUUUUUAUUGACAUAAACUUUAUCUUCCCAACAACGCUGUAAGAGGCCAACCUGCAGCAGCUUCCAGCCCCUUCCACGGUGUUUCAUAUGACAGUGUCACAGAUGGAAGAUGCUGGAUCCUUGAAUCGCUGCUAAGAGGACAGUCACCAAGGAGCACCUCCAGACCCACCUCACACUGUGACUGUGGCACACAGAGCAGAAUUCUUAUCAGUUAAAUGUGGGCAUGGUUUGACUGCACCUCCAUCCCUGUUUGGGGCUCCACCAUCAAAACAUCUUUGAGCAGCUUGCAUUCUGCUGUGGUUGAAAAAUGUAGCAUGUG